rnacentral:rRNA from 1 species
GAUGAACGCUGGCGGCGUGCCUAAUACAUGCAAGUCGAACGAACACACAAGAAGCUUUCUCUCCUAACGUUAGCGACUGACGGGUGAGUGACACGUAGAUAACCUACCAAUAAUACGGGGACAACAACGGGAAACCGGAGCUACUACUGCCUCAUAUAAUGAACGGCAUGAUUCAAUAGUGCAACACGGUUUUGCUGUCUCUUAUAGACGAUCCCGCGCCGCAUUAGCUAGUUGGUAAGGUAAAGGCAUACCAACGCUCCGAUGCGUAGCAGACCUGAGAGGAUGAUCAGCCACACUGGAACUGAGACACGGUCCAGACUCCUACGGGAGGCAGCAGUAGGGAAUAUUCCACAAUGGGCGAAAGCCUGAUCGAGCAAUACCGCGUGAGUGAUGAAGGUCUUCGGGUCGUAAAACUCUGUUAUUGGGGAAGAAAAGAUGUAGAAGUAGAUAUGCGCGUCUUGACGGUACCUAAAGAGUAAGCACCGGCUAACUACGUG